CUAGAGCAAAGGAUAGACAGCCCUGCUUCGGUAGGGUUGUCGUCGGGCCUCUCGAAGAAGCUCGGUCCUGAACUCCACCCUUGAAUAAAUUACCUUUGUUGCUUUGGCGGGCCGCCUCGCGCCAGCGGCUUCGGCUGUUUGAGUGCCCGCCAGAGGACCACAACUCUUGUUUUUAGUGAUGUCUGAGUACUAUAUAAUAGUUA
rnacentral:misc_RNA from 1 species